rnacentral:ncRNA from 1 species
AAAUUGAAGAGUUUGAUCAUGGCUCAGAUUGAACGCUGGCGGCAGGCCUAACACAUGCAAGUCGAGCGGAAACGAGUUAUCUGAACCUUCGGGGAACGAUAACGGCGUCGAGCGGCGGACGGGUGAGUAAUGCCUAGGAAAUUGCCCUGAUGUGGGGGAUAACCAUUGGAAACGAUGGCUAAUACCGCAUAAUGCCUUCGGGCCAAAGAGGGGGACCUUCGGGCCUCUCGCGUCAGGAUAUGCCUAGGUGGGAUUAGCUAGUUGGUGAGGUAAAGGCUCACCAAGGCGACGAUCCCUAGCUGGUCUGAGAGGAUGAUCAGCCACACUGGAACUGAGACACGGUCCAGACUCCUACGGGAGGCAGCAGUGGGGAAUAUUGCACAAUGGGCGCAAGCCUGAUGCAGCCAUGCCGCGUGUGUGAAGAAGGCCUUCGGGUUGUAAAGCACUUUCAGUCGUGAGGAAGGCGGUAUAGUUAAUAGCUGUAUUGUUUGACGUUAGCGACAGAAGAAGCACCGGCUAACUCCGUGCCAGCAGCCGCGGUAAUACGGAGGGUGCGAGCGUUAAUCGGAAUUACUGGGCGUAAAGCGCAUGCAGGUGGUUUGUUAAGUCAGAUGUGAAAGCCCGGGGCUCAACCUCGGAA